GGGUUGUGAGGUUAAGCGACUAAGCGUACACGGUGGAUGCCCUGGCAGUCAGAGGCGAUGAAGGACGUGCUAAUCUGCGAAAAGCGUCGGUAAGGUGAUAUGAACCGUUAUAACCGGCGAUGUCCGAAUGGGGAAACCCAGUGCAAUUCGUUGCACUAUCGUUAACUGAAUACAUAGGUUAACGAGGCGAACCGGGGGAACUGAAACAUCUAAGUACCCCGAGGAAAAGAAAUCAACCGAGAUUCCCCCAGUAGCGGCGAGCGAACGGGGAGCAGCCCAGAGUCUGAAUCAGCUUGUGUGUUAGUGGAACGGUCUGGAAAGUCCGACGGUACAGGGUGAUAGUCCCGUACACCAAAAUGCACAGGCUGUGAACUCGAAGAGUAGGGCGGGACACGUGGUAUCCUGUCUGAAUAUGGGGGGACCAUCCUCCAAGGCUAAAUACUCCUGACUGACCGAUAGUGAACCAGUACCGUGAGGGAAAGGCGAAAAGAACCCCGGCGAGGGAGUGAAAAAGAACCUGAAACCGUGUACGUACAAGCAGUGGGAGCACCUUCGGGUGUGACUGCGUACCUUUGUAUAAUGGGUCAGCGACUUAUAUUCUGUAGCAAGGUUAACCGUAUAGGGAGCCGCAGGAAACCGAGUCUUAACUGGGCGUUAAGUUGCAGGGUAUAGACCCGAAACCCGGUGAUUCAGCCAUGGGCAGGUUGAAGGUUGGGUAACACUAACUGGAGGACCGAACCGACUAAUGUUGAAAAAUUAGCGGAUGACUUGUGGCUGGGGUGAAAGGCCAAUCAAACCGGGAGAUAGCUGGUUCUCCCGAAAGCUAUUUAGGUAGCGCCUCGUGAAUUCAUCUUCGGGGGUAGAGCACUGUUUCGGCUAGGGGGUCAUCCCGACUUACCAACCCGAUGCAAACUACGAAUACCGAAGAAUGUUAUCACGGGAGACACACGGCGGGUGCUAACGUCCGUCGUGAAGAGGGAAACAACCCAGACCGCCAGCUAAGGUCCCAAAGUCAUGGUUAAGUGGGAAACGAUGUGGGAAGGCACAGACAGCCAGGAUGUUGGCUUAGAAGCAGCCAUCAUUUAAAGAAAGCGUAAUAGCUCACUGGUCGAGUCGGCCUGCGCGGAAGAUGUAACGGGCUAAACCAUGCACCGAAGCUGCGGCAGCGACACUAUGUGUUGUUGGGUAGGGAGCGUUCUGUAAGCCUGCGAAGGUGACCUGUGAGGGUUGCUGGAGGUAUCAGAAGUGCGAAUGCUGACAUAAGUAACGAUAAAGCGGGUGAAAAGCCCGCUCGCCGGAAGACCAAGGGUUCCUGUCCAACGUUAAUCGGGGCAGGGUGAGUCGACCCUAAGGCGAGGCCGAAAGGCGUAGUCGAUGGGAAACAGGUUAAUAUUCCUGUACUUGGUGUUACUGCGAAGGGGACGGAGAAGGCUAUGUUAGCCGGGCGACGGUUGUCCCGGUUUAAGCAUGUAGGCUGGUUAUCCAGGCAAAUCCGGAUAAUCAAGGCUGAGGUGUGAUGACGAGGCACUACGGUGCUGAAGUAACAAAUGCCCUGCUUCCAGGAAAAGCCUCUAAGCAUCAGGUAACAUCAAAUCGUACCCCAAACCGACACAGGUGGUCAGGUAGAGAAUACCAAGGCGCUUGAGAGAACUCGGGUGAAGGAACUAGGCAAAAUGGUGCCGUAACUUCGGGAGAAGGCACGCUGGUGUGUAGGUGAAGUCCCUGCGGAUGGAGCUGAGACCAGUCGAAGAUACCAGCUGGCUGCAACUGUUUAUUAAAAACACAGCACUGUGCAAACACGAAAGUGGACGUAUACGGUGUGACGCCUGCCCGGUGCCGGAAGGUUAAUUGAUGGGGUUAUCCGUAAGGAGAAGCUCUUGAUCGAAGCCCCGGUAAACGGCGGCCGUAACUAUAACGGUCCUAAGGUAGCGAAAUUCCUUGUCGGGUAAGUUCCGACCUGCACGAAUGGCGUAAUGAUGGCCAGGCUGUCUCCACCCGAGACUCAGUGAAAUUGAACUCGCUGUGAAGAUGCAGUGUACCCGCGGCAAGACGGAAAGACCCCGUGAACCUUUACUAUAGCUUGACACUGAACAUUGAGCCUUGAUGUGUAGGAUAGGUGGGAGGCUUUGAAGCGUGGACGCCAGUCUGCGUGGAGCCAACCUUGAAAUACCACCCUUUAAUGUUUGAUGUUCUAACGUUGGCCCCUUACCGGGGUUGCGGACAGUGUCUGGUGGGUAGUUUGACUGGGGCGGUCUCCUCCCAAAGCGUAACGGAGGAGCACGAAGGUUAGCUAAUCCUGGUCGGACAUCAGGAGGUUAGUGCAAUGGCAUAAGCUAGCUUGACUGCGAGCGUGACGGCGCGAGCAGGUGCGAAAGCAGGUCAUAGUGAUCCGGUGGUUCUGAAUGGAAGGGCCAUCGCUCAACGGAUAAAAGGUACUCCGGGGAUAACAGGCUGAUACCGCCCAAGAGUUCAUAUCGACGGCGGUGUUUGGCACCUCGAUGUCGGCUCAUCACAUCCUGGGGCUGAAGUAGGUCCCAAGGGUAUGGCUGUUCGCCAUUUAAAGUGGUACGCGAGCUGGGUUUAGAACGUCGUGAGACAGUUCGGUCCCUAUCUGCCGUGGGCGCUGGAGAAUUGAGGGGGGCUGCUCCUAGUACGAGAGGACCGGAGUGGACGCAUCACUGGUGUUCGGGUUGUCAUGCCAAUGGCACUGCCCGGUAGCUAAAUGCGGAAGAGAUAAGUGCUGAAAGCAUCUAAGCACGAAACUUGCCCCGAGAUGAGUUCUCCCUGAGACUUUAAGUCUCCUGAAGGAACGUUGAAGACGACGACGUUGAUAGGCCGGGUGUGUAAGCGCAGCGAUGCGUUGAGCUAACCGGUACUAAUGAACCGUGAGGCUUAACCUUACAACGCCGAAG
rnacentral:rRNA from 1 species